CAAGGUCAUUGUGACAUACUGGGCACUAAACAACCUUGUAAGAUGCCCAAGACAGACUCGCUUUAUGUUUAAUUUUCUUUUAUUACUAAGCAGUCUUUUAACAAAAUCUCUGUGUAUCCACUUGUUGGAAGGAAGGUUUGAGUCUCUAAAUGUGAUGGAAAAGGUAGAACAAAGGUCCUAAACCCUUCUUACAGUCUUGAACCAGCAGGUGGAAGGCCCAAGGGAUGAGGGAUGAUGUAACUGCAAAACUGCAGAGGAUAUCCACUCGACUUUCAAGAAAACAGAUGAAUCCUGUCAUCGGAGGUGUGGCAUCUCCAUUUUCAGCAGCAGACGACAUCUACAAGAGCAAAAUGGGCCUAUUUGAGUUCACAACACUACUGUGAAAUGCUAUAGGCUAAUAAUAUCGUUAACUGGAGAAUCCAGUUUGGUUAAUGAUGUUUUUGUUGUAAUUGCAGUUGUUUCCAAGAAAGGAAGAGAAUUCUUAGAAUCUAAGGGAAAAAAAAAAAAAAGAAUCUGUGUCUCCCAAUCUCUCUGAAAUCAAUCUUGAUCUCUAAUUCAUUUUGAUAGCAUACUUCACUGGCUC